UACUGAGUGGCUGAAUAAUGACUCCCUGUGUAGGCUCCUGCCCUAGAGAGCUGGUCCCCUCCUCAGGGACAGGGGCUUCUCUUACAUAUCCCUCAGCAUGGAGCAUGGGACCAGUUGUGGAAUUUACCUCCUAUUACUUUGGAGAAAGCAGAAAUAGCCUAGGUGACUGGGCUGGGAGGGAAAAACUAAGAUCUAUCACUCACCAGGGUGCAUUUUGUUCCCCUGGCCCUUUAUCUCUGGUACCUUUUGGGACUGGGUGGGAAAGUUAUUACCAAAACUGUUUCCCAAUCUGGCUCUUCUGGCCUUGGCCCCUCAGGAUGGAAGUUUGCAGUGUCCAACCUGCAAGACCAUUUAUGGGGUGAAGACAGGCACCCAACCUCCAGGGAAGAUGGAGUACCACCUCAUCCCCCACUCCUUGCCUGGCCACCCAGACUGCAAAACCAUCCGGAUCAUCUACAGCAUCCCCCCCGGCAUUCAGGGACCGGAACACCCGAAUCCUGGGAAGAGUUUCAGCGCCCGAGGCUUCCCACGACACUGUUACCUUCCGGACAGCGAGAAAGGGAGAAAAGUUCUGAAGCUGCUGCUCGUGGCCUGGGAUCGCCGCCUCAUUUUUGCCAUUGGCACCUCCAGCACCACAGGCGAGUCAGACAC
rnacentral:sRNA from 1 species